rnacentral:rRNA from 1 species
GACGAACGCUGGCGGCGUGCUUAACACAUGCAAGUCGAACGGUGAAGCGCCUUCCUUUUUGGUGGGUGUGGAUGAGUGGCGAACGGGUGAGUAACACGUGAGUAACCUGCCCCCUUCUUCUGGAUAACCGCAUGAAAGUGUGGCUAAUACGGGAUAUUCUGGGUCUGUCGCAUGAUGGGUCUGGGAAAGAUAUUGUUUCGGUUGUGGAUGGGCUCGCGGCCUAUCAGCUUGUUGGUGGGGUGAUGGCCUACCAAGGCGGUGACGGGUAGCCGGCCUGAGAGGGUGGACGGUCACACUGGGACUGCGCGACGGACAAGACUACUACGGGCGGCAGCAGUGGGGAAUAUUGCACAAUGGGAGCAAGCCUGAUGCAGCGCCGCCGCGUGAGGGAUGGAGGCCUUCGGGUUGUGAACCUCUUUCGCCAGUGAAGCAGGCCUGCCUUGUUUGUGCGCGGGUUGACGGUAGCUGGAUAAGAAGCGCCGGCUAACUACGUG